rnacentral:rRNA from 1 species
CUUGUGAAAUCGGGCCGCCUAACGGUUCGGCGUGCAAGGGAUACUGUUGGUCUUGAGGCCGGGAGAGGUCGGAGGUACUCCUGGGGUAGCGGUGAAAUGCUCUAAUCCUAGGGGGACCACCAGUGGCGAAGGCGUCCGACCAGAACGGACCUGACGGUGAGGGGCGAAGGCUAGGGGAGCGAACGGGAUUAGAUACCCCGGUAGUCCUAGCUGUAAAGCAUGCGGGCCAGGUGUCUAGCGCUCCUCGAGGGCGCUAGGUGCCGGAGGGAAGCCGUUAAGCCCGCCGCCUGGGAAGUACGGCCGCAAGGUUGAAACUUAAAGAAAUUGGCGGGGGAGCACCACAAGAGGUGGGACCUGCGGUUCAAUUGGAUUCAACGCCGGACAACUCACCAGGGGCGACAGUUGUUUGAGGGCCAGGUUGACGACCUUGCCAGACUAGCUGAGAGGUGGUGCAUGGCCAUCGUCAGCUCGUACCGUGAGGCGUCCUGUCAAGUCAGGCAACGAGCGAGAUCCUCGCCCUUAGUUGCCAUCGGUGGAAAGCCGGGCACUCCAGGGGGACCGCUGGCGCUAAGUCAAAGGAAGGAGAGGGCGACGGUAGGUCAGUAUGCCCCGAAUCCCCUGGGCUACACGCGGGUCACAAUGCGCAGGACAAUGAGAUGCAACCCCGUAAGGGAAGCCAGCCCCUAAACCUGCGCUCGGUUCGGAUCGAGGCUGUA